rfam:Oryza rufipogon genomic scaffold, chr02
UUUAAAUGUAAUUAUAAGUUACCGUGUUCAAUUUUAAUCGUUUAUUUUAUUUAAUUUUUUUAUAAUUAGUAUUUUUGUUAUUAUGAGAUGAUAAAAUAUGAAUAGUAAUUUAUACAUGACUUAUGUUUUUAAUUUUUUUUUUAGAAAAUUUUAAUUAAGACAGACGGUUAAAGUUGUGUACGGAAAAUCAUAACUGUACUUAAU